rnacentral:piRNA from 1 species
UUCNGAGAUGAUGCACCUAACCCACAAGU